UCCUAUGUUAUAAAUUCUAACGUUUUAAAAACUAUUUUCAUGUUUUUAUUCUCAGUAUCUUUCUUUGCCUGAUGAUUCUUUUUUUCCUUAUUGGUAAUCCAUACUUCUUGCAGAGCGCUUAGAGCACAACACUGCCAGCUUUGUCCUGCCAUAUUCUAUCUCAAUGCUGGCCAGCUUGGUACAUCCACUUGUAAUAUGAUGAAUAGUAUCUGGAGCCUGGCCACACAUCCUACAUUCUAGUCUUAGGGUUUUUUAAGCCAUCUAUCCUUGCUUGUACAAAUUGCUCAUUCCUGUGUGGCCAUAAUGAAAUUCUUCAUUUCUCUUUUCAGUCUUCUGACAGCCUGCUUAACAUUUGCCACAACCUUCUUGUGAGAUUUUUGAAAUUCUUGGUGGUUUUUUUUUUUUUUCAGUUGAUUUCUGCUUGUGCUAUUCUUACUACUAUGUGAAUGAUAAGUUACUCUAAUUGGUAGAAUCUUUUUCUUUUAAUUUUGGACCCUUCUUAGGAUUAAACAGCCCAGUUUUCUAUCUAUACAUUCUUAAAAUUACACUUCCUGACAAUAUGAACUCCAUUUUUCUCUGCAUUCACAUUUAUUACCUUAGGCAAUAAUAACUUUUUAUUACUUUUACAGUUACAUUUCCUUAUAUUAAUCAGAUUUAUUUCUGAAGAAGAAUAACAUUCUUGAGAAUAUAUCACCACAUGUGCCAGCAUAUGUGGGCCCACCAUGUCAUCAAAAGAUUGUGGAAACUCAAGAGAAGAUACAGAGAAACGAGAAAAGGACAGGAUUUCAGGAAACAUAAUGAAAAGUUAGCGUUUGCCUCUAAGCAUAUCAAAGGAACUCUGCAAGCUAUCGCUGAGUGCAUGAUAGAAGUUAUUUCUGCUUACAUAGUCAAUGAUUUAUCAGCAUCCAGGUAGCUGUUACCAGAUGUUGUUUGUUUGUUUGUUUCUGAAUGCAUACUUUGUAAAGAUAGAAAUAUUAAUAUUGAGAGACUCUCAGUGGUUCAGGGAACUGAAGAGAACUGUAAAAGUUUUGUUUUCUGCCUUAGGUCAAAAUUGCUCUCUAAGUAGUGGCCACCAAAGCCCUCACUGUGUGAGAAGUAUUUGAGAGUGUGUGAGAGCAUGUUUUCUGGUCCUAGAUCUGCCUAUGGUUCUGCUGUAUAGUAUGGGAUCACAACUCAUAUUGUUCAUUGGCAUACAUGACACUUUGAGAAGUCAAAGGAAAGGUGCCAGAACCAACAGGCUCUUUGAUGCCUGCAGCUGUCCUUACA
rnacentral:lncRNA from 1 species